CUCCGAGCAAAGCGGGGACGUGGUGGUGGGGGGGGGGGCACCUUCCUUUGGGGACGCGGAACCACCGAGGCUAGGUCGGAGAUGGGCUGCUUGCCUCCCCCCUCCCGCCCCGCGAUGAAGAAAGCCAAAACCAAAGGUGACAAAUUCCGAUGGCACACAAAUGAUUUCCCAGUAGGACUCGGCAGCCGCCGUGGAAGAGGCCAUGCGAAGCGCGGUGACACCCACCUUCCCCAUCCCCAACACGCGACACAGCAGCUCCUCCAGCUUCUGGCCGGUCUUCACCCCACCACAGGCACAGGCCUGUCGGCGCUGUAAUAAUGGUGGCAAAUGUAGAGUCGUGUGCACUCCCCCCCCCCCCCCAUGCCUUUAACUUCUAAAUACUGUUUCUGGUUGCCACAGAAUUUUCCAGUUUGCCAUUGGUACUCUGGGCCGCCCUUACGGGACCAUGCCCCUGUGUUGGCGGGGAGAAGGGGCCUUCAGUUCCUCCCUAUCAUAAAUAACAUCGCAGUAAAUGUCUUUGUAGAUAUAGAAUUGUUCCCUCUUCCUGAUGAAUUAUUUCCUUAGGAUUAAUUCCCGGGAGGAAGAUUAUUGGGCCAAAGGCUAUGAACAGUUUUAUGUCACUUGGUAUUAUCGCUAAAUUGCUUUCCAAAAGGGUUGUGUCUGAUGAUUUACAGUUUGGAAGGAGGAGCUGGCCAAAUGUGUAAACUGCACGACCCUACCCGCACACAAAGGGUACGACCUUGGGGAUCCAAAGGACCCACAGCUCCUGCCUCCAGAGCCUGCUUCCCACGGGACCGCUGGAAAGCCACCAUGCUGUCACCGGAGGGCAGCACCCUCAGAAUCACCCCUCCACCCCAGCUGCCAGCCAGGCCCUGGGGGCCAGCUGUGCCUCUGACUGUUCAUCUGCUCCCGUGAAGUUCAUGACCCCUUGGCUACCCUGCCGGAGAACACAGAGGGAAGCCCACACACAGAGGCUACCUAGACUGGUAAUGGUUACAGCCUGACUCCCCAUUGGGUGAAGCUGGGAAUAAACUGGGGAUGUGGCUGCUCCCUCA
rnacentral:lncRNA from 1 species